AUGGACACGGAAAGGUUAAAAAGGUUCUUAAUCGGGUUGGUGGUAGGAUUAGCCAUAACGGCCUUGCUUCUCGUCGCCGAUGCCACAAGGCCCAAGAAGCGUGAUGAUAUCAGGUUGAACGACAGGGGUGAGUGCGUGUACCCCAUGAGCCUGUCUUUCGCGGUGAGUUUGGCCCAACUGGCUUUCGUUCUGGCUGUCGUCUCGCAUUACACCUCCCAAAACGGAUGCUGCAAGCCCCGCGACGGCGUCUCCGGAUCGAGCUUCGUGGCGGGCAUCAUCCUUGCCAUCAUCUCAUGGUCAAUGGCGUUGGACGCGGGAGGAAUCUUUCUCUUGGACAUGUUGGCGGUCUGGCCCGGGAACCACGGUAAAGCCCCGGAGUGUUACAACGGUGUUGAGGCGGAUCAUCAUCGCUAUAUGGAGGAGGCAUUCUACCGGAGCAUGUUCGCCAUCUUCUUUGCAGGCUGCUCCUCCAAGUUACGUUCCCCUCCUCCUCCUCCUCCUAUAGCAUCCUAG
rnacentral:rRNA from 1 species